CGCGUUGGGAGCUCUCCCAUAUGGUCGACCUGCAGGCGGCCGCGAAUUCACUAGUGAUUCGUAUUACCGCGGCUGCUGGCACGGAGUUAGCCGGAGCUUAUUCUCCCGAUACUGUCAUUAUCAUCUCGGGUAAAAGAGCUUUACAACCCUAAGGCCUUCAUCACUCACGCGGCAUUGCUGGAUCAGGCUUUCGCCCAUUGUCCAAUAUUCCCUACUGCUGCCUCCCGUAGGAGUCUGGGCCGUGUCUCAGUCCCAGUGUGGCUGAUCAUCCUCUCAGACCAGCUAAGGAUCGUUGCCUUGGUGAGCCUUUACCCCACCAACUAGCUAAUCCUACGCGGGCUCAUCCCUGGGCGAUAAAUCUUUGGACUUUCGUCAUCAUCCGGUAUUAGCUUCAGUUUCCCGAAGUUAUUCCGAACCCAAGGGCAGAUUCCCACACGUUACGCACCCGUGCGCCACUAGACCCGAAGGUCUCGUUCGACUUGCAUGUAUUAGGCAUGCCGCCAGCGUUCGUUCUGAGCCAUGAUCAAACUCUAAUCGAAUUCCCGCGGCCGCCAUGGCGGCCGGGAGCAUG
rnacentral:rRNA from 1 species